rnacentral:rRNA from 1 species
UACGUAGGGGGCAAGCGUUAUCCGGAUUUACUGGGCGUAAAGAGCGCGUAGGCGGUUCCGUAAGUUGGUUGUGAAAGUUCGAGGCUCAACCUCGAAACUGCGUCCAAUACUGCGGGGCUGGAGUGCAAGAGAGGCGAGCGGAAUUCCCGGUGUAGAGGUGAAAUUCGUAGAUAUCGGGAGGAACACCAGUGGCGCAGGCGGCUCGCUGG